rnacentral:tRNA from 1 species
UCCGCUGUAGUGAGAACAGCAGCACACCGCUUUGGUAAGGCGGAAGCGCCGGGGCGGCACCGGCCAGCGGAACCA